rnacentral:misc_RNA from 1 species
UCAAAAAAUUCAUUAUUUUUUGAAAAUAUUUUUUUCCAAUUUCCCUUUGUGUACCUACUCCAUGUUGCUUCCACUAGACUGGUAUCAUGUAUGCCCUUCAUCCAUUUUAUAUCAAGUGGUUGAUGUAGUGUCGGUGGGUAGCCUUUUAUUUAUAAAAAACUUGUUUUAAAAUCUAGUCUGAUAAUAUGAAAAUAAAAAAAAUAAAUAACAA